CUCCCAUUUCAGUAGCUAUUUCCAUCUUCAGAGCAAGGGCUGUUUUCAAGGAGAACCUUUCUAGUGACUAAUGCCUUAGAUAACUGAAAGGAAGCCACUACCUCAUAUGAUUUUUACACUACAUGUUAAAGUUCAUCUCCGUAUACAUGUCUUUUAAUUUUCUCCACAACCAGAAGGAUUUAAUUCUCACUCUUCUUAAGGGCUUGUUUCGUUGCCAACGAG
rnacentral:lncRNA from 1 species